AUUGAACGCUGGCGGCAUGCCUUACACAUGCAAGUCGAACGGCAGCACGGGAGCAAUCCUGGUGGCGAGUGGCGAACGGGUGAGUAAAGUAUCGGAACGUGCCCAGUCGUGGGGGAUAACGUAGCGACAGUUACGCUAAUACCGCAUACGAUCUAGGGAUGAAAGCGGGGGAUCGCAAGACCUCGCGCGAUCGGAGCGGCCGAUAUCAGAGUAGGUAGUUGGUGGGGUAAAGGCUCACCAAGCCGACGAUCUGUAGCUGGUCUGCGAGGACGACCAGCCACACUGGGACUGAGACACGGCCCAGACUCCUACGGGAGGCAGCAGUGGGGAAUUUUGGACAAUGGGCGAAAGCCUGAUCCAGCCAUGCCGCGUGCAGGAUGAAGGCCUUCGGGUUGUAAACUGCUUUUGUACGGAACGAAAAGGUUUGGCCUAAUACGCUGAGCUCAUGACGGUACCGUAAGAAUAAGCACCGGCUAACUACGUGCCAACAGCCGCCGCAG
rnacentral:rRNA from 1 species